CUGCCCCGUGAUUAAAUUUAACGGCCGCGGUAUCUUAACCGUGCAAAGGUAGCAUAAUCAAUUGUCCUUUAAAUUAGGACUAGUAUGAACGGCAUCACGAGGGUUUAACUGUCUCCCCCUUUUAAUCAAUGAAACUAAUUUUCCCGUGAAGAACGGGAAUGUAAUUAUAAGACGAGAAGACCCCAUGGAGCUUUAAACUUAACAUCACUUAUUAAAUAAUAAAACACACCACAUAAUAAGAGUGCUUUAUAGUUUUUGGUUGGGGCGACCCUGGAGAAUAACAAAUCCUCCAGAUUGAAAUGAAUAACUAACCUUAUACAAGAACCACAAUUCAAACAAACAAAAAUUUGACAAUACUGACCCAGAAUAAACUGACCAGUGAACCAAGUUACCCUGGGGAUAACAGCGCAAUCCAUUUUAAGAGCCCUUAUCGACAAAUGGGUUUACGACCUCGAUGUUGGAUCAGGGUAUCCAAGCAGCGCAGCCGUUGCUAGUGGUUCGUUUGUUCAACGAUUAAAACCC
rnacentral:rRNA from 1 species